GAUGAACGCUGGCGGCGUGCCUAAUACAUGCAAGUCGAGCGAACAGACGAGGAGCUUGCUCCUCUGACGUUAGCGGCGGACGGGUGAGUAACACGUGGAUAACCUACCUAUAAGACUGGGAUAACUUCGGGAAACCGGAGCUAAUACCGGAUCAUAUAUUGAACCGCAUGGUUCAAUAGUGAAAGACGGUUUUGCUGUCACUUAUAGAUGGAUCCGCGCCGCAUUAGCUAGUUGGUAGGGUAACGGCUUACCAAGGCAACGAUGCGUAGCCGACCUGAGAGGGUGAUCGGCCACACUGGAACUGAGACACGGUCCAGACUCCUACGGGAGGCAGCAGUAGGGAAUCUUCCACAAUGGGCGAAAGCCUGACGGAGCAACGCCGCGUGAGUGAUGAAGGUCUUCGGAUCGUAAAGCUCUGUUAUUAGGGAAGAACAAAUGUGUAAGUAACUAUGCACGUCUUGACGGUACCUAAUCAGAAAGCCACGGCUAACUACGUG
rnacentral:rRNA from 1 species